rnacentral:rRNA from 1 species
GCAUAUCAAUAAGCGGAGGAAAAAGAAACUAACAAGGAUUCCCCUAGUAACUGCGAGUGAAGCGGGAAAAGCUCAAAUUUAAAAUCUGGUGGCCUUUGGUCAUCCGAGUUGUAAUCUAGAGAAGUGUUACCCGCGUCGGACCGUGUACAAGUCUCCUGGAAUGGAGCGUCAUAGAGGGUGAGAAUCCCGUCUUUGACACGGACUACCGAGGCUUUGUGGUGCGCUCUCAAAGAGUCGAGUUGUUUGGGAAUGCAGCUCAAAAUGGGUGGUAAAUUCCAUCUAAAGCUAAAUAUUGGCGAGAGACCGAUAGCGAACAAGUACCGUGAGGGAAAGAUGAAAAGAACUUUGGAAAGAGAGUUAAACAGUACGUGAAAUUGCUGAAAGGGAAACGCUUGAAGUCAGUCGCGUUGGCCGGAAAUCAGCCUUCCUUUUGGUUGGUGUACUUUCUGGUUGACGGGCCAGCAUCAGUUUUGACCGAUGGAUAAAGUUGUAGGGAAUGUGGCAUCUUCGGGUGUGUUUAUAGCCUUGCUUCGUAUACAUCGGUUGGGACUGAGGAACUCAGCACGCCGAAAGGCCGGGGUUCGCCCACGAUCGUGCUUAGGAUGCUGGCAUAAUGGCUUUAAUCGACCCGUCUUGAAACACGGACCAAGGAGUCUAACAUGCCUGCGAGUGUUUGGGUGGAAAACCCGAGCGCGUAAUGAAAGUGAAAGUCGAGAUCCUUGUCAUGGGGAGCAUCGACGCCCGGACCAGACGUUUUCUGACGGUUCUGCGGUAGAGCAUGUAUGUUGGGACCCGAAAGAUGGUGAACUAUGCCUGAAUAGGGUGAAGCCAGAGGAAACUCUGGUGGAGGCUCGUAGCGAUUCUGACGUGCAAAUCGAUCGUCAAAUUUGGGUAUAGGGGCGAAAGACUAAUCGAACCCAUCUAGUAGCUGGUUCCUGCCGAA